GGGGAUUUAGCUCAGUGGCAUAAGCAUCUGCCUGGCAAGCACAAGGUCAUGAGUUCAAUCCCCAAUACCCCCC
rfam:Cavia porcellus supercont2_15 genomic scaffold, whole genome shotgun sequence.